rnacentral:rRNA from 1 species
AUUGAACGCUGGCGGCAGGCCUAACACAUGCAAGUCGAACGAGUGGCGGACGGGUGAGUAAUGUCUGGGAAACUGCCUGAUGGAGGGGGAUAACUACUGGAAACGGGAGCUAAUACCGCAUACCAUCGGAUGUGCCCAGAUGGGAUUGGCUAUUAGGUGGGGUAAAGGCUCACCUAGGCGACGAUCCCUAGCUGGUCUGAGAGGAUGACCAGCCACACUGGAACUGAGACACGGUCCAGACUCCUACGGUGGGCGGAGUUGGGGAAUAUUGCACAAGGGGCGCAAGCCGGAUGCAGCCAUGCCGCGUGUAUGAAGAAGGCCUUCGGGUUUUAAAGUACUUUCAGCGGGGAGGCGUUACCCACAGAAGAAGCACCGGCUAACUCCGUGCCAGCCGCCGCGGUAAUAC